rnacentral:rRNA from 1 species
CCUACGGGAGGCAGCAGUGGGGAAUAUUGGGCAAUGGGCGCAAGCCUGACCCAGCAACGCCGCGUGAAGGAUGAAGGUUUUCGGAUUGUAAACUUCUGUCGCGAGGGACGAAGAAUGACGGUACCUCGUAAGAAAGCAUCGGCUAACUCCGUGCCAGCAGCCGCGGUAAUACGGAGGAUGCGAGCGUUAUCCGGAUUUAUUGGGUUUAAAGGGUGCGUAGGCGGUCCGUUAAGUCAGCGGUAAAAUUGCGGGGCCCAACCCCGUCGAGCCGUUGAAACUGGCAGAAUUGAGUUGGCGAGAAGUACGCGGAGUGCGGGGUGGAGGGGAGAAAGGCAUAGAUAGCGCGCAGAA